GUUCGGUAAAGAGCCCCGGCGCUGGGAGCUCGUCCGGCAGAGCAGCAGCAGCCGGAGCUCCGGGGAGACGCUGCUGGAGAAGGCGGAGUAGAUCCAGGGGUUGGUGCAGGAGUUCAGACUGGCCAGCAGCAUGAGCAAGGCUGAGCAGCAGCGACAGCCCCCAGGCCGAAACCACGAAGGAGUUGCAGCGCUGCGUGGCUCCGCUGUGAUGCGCCUGCAGGGGGCAGCAGAUGGCGUAGUGGCGGUCCAGCGUCAUGGCAACGAUCAUGUAGGAGGAGGCGAACAUGCCGAGCACCUGGAGGUAUUUCACCAGGCGACACAGGAAGUCCGGGCCGGGGAAGCGACCCUGAACGUCCCACACCAGCUGGGGCAGCACCUCAGAGAGGACGGAGCGCCACCACCAGGUCGGCCAGACAGAGGUUGAGCAUGAACUGGUGCAGCGGGUUGUGAUGUCGCCGGCGCCUUAGCAACACCACCAGCACCAGCCCGUUGCCGAGCAACGCCAUCACCAAGAUGACCGCCAGCACCACCACCUCGGCCACCGCCAGCAGGGCGUCCCGCUUCCAGUUGGUGGCGUUGGUGCCCGCCGGGGCCUCGGGGGCCACCGACCAAUGGGUGGACGGUGCAACUCCAUUGCGUCUGAUGGCCAUGAUGGCAUUGUUGAUGUCAUCUUCUGAGGCCAUGGUCGAGUCCACAUUGACGACUUCAAAGUCCACCGGCACACAGCAGAACCUGAAUAUGAACGCAGAUGGAAAACACUUUAUUAUGAUGGAGCUGAGUCAUUUUAUUGUAUUUGGUCACCAUUACACUGUUGUUUUGUGUCUCUUUAGUUACCUUACAUUACUCUUUGGUCAUUUUCAUUUCUUUGUGUUUGUCUUUUGCCACUUUGUGGUUGCACUGUGUUUUUGUAACCAUCCGGCAUGCUUUGUGAUGAUCAUGUUUUGGUUUUUUAAAUCAAUUUUUGUUCAAUUUGUAGUUACUUGUGAUCACUUUGUGGUCAUUUUGUUUCAAGUUGUAAUUGUCUUGUAUCUUUUUAUAACCAUUUUCCAUGGCUUUGUGGUGAUUUUCCAUGCUUCCAAGAUCAUUUUGUGGUUUUACAUCAAUUUCCUGCCAAUUUGUAGUUAUCUUACAUCACUUGGUGGCCGAUUUGUGUCAAUUUGUGGUUGUUUUGUGUUACUUUGUGGUCAUUUUGCACUUUAUUAUUAGUUUGUGGUUUUACAUCAGUUUUUGGUGAAUUUGUAGUCAUUUUGCAUCACUCAUAGUUUUAUGUCAUUUUGUGUCACUUUGACAUGAAUUUUUGGGUAAUUUUAGGUCAUUUUGUGUCUUUUUAUGACACUUUGUGAACAUUUUGUUGUUAUUUUCAGUCAUUUUGCAUUACUUUUGCGUUUUUGCAUCAGUUCAUGGUCAUUUUGUGGCAAUCUGUGGUUGUCUUGUGUCUUUUGUCGCCAUUUGGCAGGACUUUGUGGUCAUUCUGCAUGCCUUUGUGAUCAUGUUGUGGUUUUAAAUCACUUUUUGGUGAAUUUGUAAUUCUUUUGCAUCACUUUAUGGUCAUUUUGUAUCACUCUCUUAUAGUUUAAUGUCAUUUUGCAUCAUUUUGACAUUAAUUUUUUGGUUAUUUUAUGUCAUUUUGUGUCCUUUUAUGACACUCUGUGAACAUUUUGUAGUUGUUUUAAAUCACUUUGCAUUACUUUACAGCUGUUUUGUGUCACUUUGUGGUCUUUUUGUGAUCAAUUUAAGUCUCGUUUUGCUAUUGCAUUACUUUUUAGACAUUCUAUGCAUCUUUUGCAUCACUCUGUUACAGUUUUGUGUCAUUCUUUGACAUACAUUUUUGGAUUAUUUUAUGUCAUUUUGUGACACUGUGAAUUUUGCAGUUGUUUUAAGUUACCUUGCAUUACUUUUCAGUCACUCUGUGCUUAUUCUGCAUCACUUUAUGGAUAUUUUUGGUCACUUUGUGUUUGCCUUGUGUUGCUUUCUGGCUGUAUUUUGGUCAUUUUGUGUCUGCAGUGACUUCAUUUGAACCCUGUGUGUCUGUGUGUAUAUAUACAGUAACAGUAUGAUUUCAUUCUCACCUGAAUAGCUCCCGGACGUGGUUGGCCAGCUCUGGUCCGAUGCCGUCUCCAGGAAUCAGAGUCACUGUGUGUCUGCCUCCAUACUGAGCAGGUGGAGGCUGUGAAGCACAAACCAAGCUACUGAGAAAACGAUGAGAGAAACUGCUAACUGGUUUUUCUAAUAAAUUCUGCUACAUGACCUAUCAGGAGCCGUACUCACGAUGGACUUGUUGGG